rnacentral:rRNA from 1 species
CGAAGGAUGCAAGCGUUAUCCGGAUUCAUUGGGUUUAAAGGGUGCGUAGGCGGACUGGAUAAGUCAGUGGUGAAAUCUCUUUGCUUAACAAAGAAACUGCCAUUGAUACUGUCGGUCUAGAGUAUAGAUGACGUUGGCGGAAUAUGACAUGUAGUGGUGAAAUACUUAGAUAUGUCAUAGAACACCGAUUGCGAAGGCAGCUAACGAAACUAUAACUGACGCUGAGGCACGAAAGUGCGGGGAUCAAACAGGAUUAGAUACCCUGGUAGUCCGCACCGUAAACGAUGAUUACUCGUUGUUGGCGAUAUGACAGUCAGCGACCAAGCGAAAGCGAUAAGUAAUCCACCUGGGGAGUACGCCGGCAACGGUG